rnacentral:lncRNA from 1 species
CAACAAACGUUUAUUUCUCGAAGUUCUAGAGGCUGGAAGUCCACUGGCAGAUUCAGUGUCUGUGAAGGCCCUCUUCCUGCAGACUGCCCCACACCGGGGAAGGGCUAGGGACCCCUCUGGAGCCUCUUUGAUGAGGGCAUUAAUCCCAUUUUUGAGGGCUCUGCCCUCGUGACCUAACCACCUCCUGAAGUCUGCACCUCCUAAUCCCACCACACUGGGCAUUAGGAUCUAACAUAUGGGUGCUGUGGGAUACAAACAUUCAGACCAUGGCAAACGGAAAAAGGACAUGUCCUCCCUUCGUGAGGCGAUGAGUGCAAUCAGGCGGGCACCUUGAUAGCAGGAUGACGACAGAGUUCCUGUCCUUUCUGAAGGCUUCCGGUUUCUGUGUGUAAUAGAAGACGAGGUCAGAGGUUUGGGGCAAAUGGAGAGGGUUUUAAACAGCCACUGUGGAAGAUGGCAGGAGCUCAGAGCCAGCUAUACCCAGGAGAAGAAGGACAAUCAGACUGACCCGAGUUGGGGUUUCCUGGCAGGUACAACAGAGAGACAGGUCAAGAGAAGUCAGGAUGUUAUCAAGAGAGUGGUCAAGGUGAGAUAUUGUGGGAUCCACGAGGGAGGGGAAGGAAGUGAAGACAGGAGGAGUGAGGUUAAAGAUCAGCUUGAGGUAAAAGAACGGGAAGUGUGAGUGAUAAACAAACAGUGGAAAGUAGAGGCCGCAGUGAGAAAGGGCUACCUGAAUUUCAUAACUCAGGGCUGAGAUUGUAAGAUCCGAUGUUGCCCCUGCUAACGGGCAUCUGAGACGGAGGGAGGUGACAUGACUGAGGGAGAAGAAAGGCAAGGAGCGGAGCAGAUGAGUGGUCUGUUGUGUGGCACAAGCAUGGCCAUAAAGACUGCAGAACAAAGGAGCGACUGGGGAGGUGAGGAAAAUAGAAAGCAAGUCUGGGUCUCAGGCUGCCAGUGAAUGAGUAUAGCUGAGAGACGGGAACUGCAGAGGAGACAGGGUCUUUAACAGCAGUAGAGGAGAAAGGUCUGGAAGAAGCCUUGGGGUGGUUGCAAGAGGGGCAGGGAAUGAGGAAAAAGGAACAGCCCGAGGGAAGGGUGCUGGGAAGUGGUGACCUCAGAGGAGAGUGUCAUUUCACUUCCAACAGAGGUUCCAAAUCGGUAGCCUACCCAUCAAACUUGUUUGCUUUGCUUGCUCAAAAAUUAAGUCAAAAUGAAAAAU